rnacentral:rRNA from 1 species
UGGGGAAUAUUGCGCAAUGGGGGAAACCCUGACGCAGCGACGCCGUGUGAGGGAAGAAGGCCUUCGGGUCGUAAACCUCUGUCGGGAGGGAAGAACCGCCGGUUUCCGAACAGGGAGCCGGCCUGACGGUACCUCCGAAGGAAGCGCCGGCUAACUCCGUGCCAGCAGCCGCGGUAAUACGGAGGGCGCGAGCGUUAAUCGGAAUCACUGGGCGUAAAGCGCGCGUAGGCGGCCAGAUAAGUCGGGCGUGAAAGCCCUCGGGUCAACAGAGGAAGUGCGUUCGAUACUGUUUGGCUUGAGUACUGGAGAGGGUGGCGGAAUUCCGGGUGUAGGAGUGAAAUCCGUAGAUAUCCGGAGGAACACCGGUGGCGAAGGCGGCCACCUGGACAGGUACUGACGCUGAGGUGCGAAAGCGUGGGGAGCAAACAG